AGUUUGAUCCUGGCUCAGGAUGAACGCCGGCGGUGUGCCUAAUACAUGCAAGUCGUACGCACUGGCCCAACUGAUUGAUGGUGCUUGCACCUGAUUGACGAUGGAUCACCAGUGAGUGGCGGACGGGUGAGUAACACGUAGGUAACCUGCCCCGGAGCGGGGGAUAACAUUUGGAAACAGAUGCUAAUACCGCAUAACAACAAAAGCCACAUGGCUUUUGUUUGAAAGAUGGCCUUGGCUAUCACUCUGGGAUGGACCUGCGGUGCAUUAGCUAGUUGGUAAGGUAACGGCUUACCAAGGCGAUGAUGCAUAGCCGAGUUGAGAGACUGAUCGGCCACAAUGGAACUGAGACACGGUCCAUACUCCUACGGGAGGCAGCAGUAGGGAAUCUUCCAAAAUGGGCGCAAGCCUGAUGGAGCAACACCGCGUGAGUGAAGAAGGGUUUCGGCUCGUAAAGCUCUGUUGUUGGAGAAGAACGUGCGUGAGAGUAACUGUUCACGCAGUGACGGUAUCCAACCAGAAAGUCACGGCUAACUACGUGCCAGCAGCCGCGGUAAUACGUAGGUGGCAAGCGUUAUCCGGAUUUAUUGGGCGUAAAGCGAGCGCAGGCGGUUGCUUAGGUCUGAUGUGAAAGCCUUCGGGUUAACCGAAGAAGUGCAUUGGAAACCGGGCGACUUGAGUGCAGAAGAGGACAGUGGAACUCCAUGUGUAGCGGUGGAAUGCGUAGAUAUUUGGAAGAACACCAGUGGCGAAGGCGGCUGUCUGGUCUGCAACUGACGCUGAGGCUCGAAAGCAUGGGUAGCGAACAGGAUUAGAUACCCUGGUAGUCCAUACCGUAAACGAUGAGUGCUAGGUGUUGGAGGGUUUCCGCCCUUCAGUGCCGGAGCUAACGCAUUAAGCACUCCGCCUGGGGAGUACGACCGCAAGGUUGAAACUCAAAGGAAUUGACGGGGGCCCGCACAAGCGGUGGAGCAUGUGGUUUAAUUCGAAGCUACGCGAAGAACCUUACCAGGUCUUGACAUCUUGCGCUAACCUUAGAGAUAAGGCGUUCCCUUCGGGGGACGCAAUGAAAGGUGGUGCAUGGUCGUCGUCAGCUCGUGUCGUGAGAUGUUGGGUUAAGUCCCGCAACGAGCGCAACCCUUGUUACUAGUUGCCAGCAUUAAGUUGGGCACUCUAGUGAGACUGCCGGUGACAAACCGGAGGAAGGUGGGGACGACGUCAGAUCAUCAUGCCCCUUAUGACCUGGGCUACACACGUGCUACAAUGGACGGUACAACGAGUCGCAAGCUCGCGAGAGUAAGCUAAUCUCUUAAAGCCGUUCUCAGUUCGGACUGUAGGCUGCAACUCGCCUACACGAAGUCGGAAUCGCUAGUAAUCGCGGAUCAGCAUGCCGCGGUGAAUACGUUCCCGGGCCUUGCACACACCGCCCGUCA
rnacentral:rRNA from 1 species